rfam:Exophiala spinifera strain CBS 89968 unplaced genomic scaffold supercont1.4, whole genome shotgun sequence.
GCCGGUGUAGUGCAGUGGUGAGCACGUUUCGUUGUGGUCAGGCUUUGUCUCUGCGCUCCUCCAGUGUGUGAGGCUGGUCAAAUGCAAAACCCGAAGAGACCUUGGUUCGAACCCAAGCACCGGCA